UACGUAGGGUGCAAGCGUUGUUCGGAAUCACUGGGCGUAAAGCGCGUGUAGGCGGCCCAUUAAGUCUGAUGUGAAAGCCCGGGGCUCACCCCCGGAAGUGCAUUGGAAACUGAUGGACUCGAGUCCCGGAGAGGAGAGUGGAAUUCCUGGUGUAGCGGUGAAAUGCGUAGAUAUCAGGAGGAACACCGGUGGCGAAGGCGGCUCUCUGGACGGUGACUGACGCUGAGACGCGAAAGCGUGGGGAGCAAACAGG
rnacentral:rRNA from 1 species